rnacentral:rRNA from 1 species
GGCAGCACGGGGGCAACCCUGGUGGCGAGUGGCGAACGGGUGAGUAACAUAUCGGAACGUGCCCUGGAGUGGGGGAUAACUAGUCGAAAGAUUAGCUAAUACCGCAUACGAUCUACGGAUGAAAGUGGGGGAUCGCAAGACCUCAUGCUCGUGGAUCGGCCGAUAUCUGAUUAGCUAGUUGGUGGGGUAAAGGCCUACCAAGGCAUCGAUCAGUAGCUGGUCUGAGAGGACGACCAGCCACACUGGGACUGAGAUACGGCCCAGACUCCUACGGGAGGCAGCAGUGGGGAAUUUUGGACAAUGGGCGCAAGCCUGAUCCAGCAAUGCCGCGUGAGUGAAGAAGGCCUUCGGGUUGUAAAGCUCUUUUGUCAGGGAAGAAACGGUUCGGGUUAAUACCUUGGGCUAAUGACGGUACCUGAAGAAUAAGCACCGGCUAACUACGUGCCAGCAGCCGCGGUAAUACGUAGGGUGCAAGCGUUAAUCGGAAUUACUGGGCGUAAAGCGUGCGCAGGCGGUUGUGCAAGACAGAUGUGAAAUCCCCGGGCUCAACCUGGGAAUUGCAUUUGUGACUGUACGGCUAGAGUGUGUCAGANGGGGGUAGAAUUCCACGUGUAGCAGUGAAAUGCGUAGAGAUGUGGAGGAAUACCGAUGGCGAAGGCAGCCCCCUGGGAUAACACUGACGCUCAUGCACGAAAGCGUGGGGAGCAAACAGGAUUAGAUACCCUGGNAGUCCACGCCCUAAACGAUGUCUACUAGUUGUCGGGUCUUUAUUGACUUGGNAACGCAGCUAACGCGUGAAGUAGACCGCCUGGGGAGUACGGUCGCAAGAUUAAAACUCAAGGAAUUGACGGGGACCCGCACAAGCGGUGGAU